UGGUUCUGGCAUCGAUGAAGAACGCAGCGAAAUGCGAUAAGUAAUGUGAAUUGCAGAAUUCAGUGAAUCAUCGAAUCUUUGAACGCACAUUGCGCCCCCUGGCAUUCCGGGGGGCAUGCCUGUCCGAGCGUCAUUGCAACCAUCGAGCCCCGCUCGGUGUUGGGCGCGGCCCGCCUCAGCGGCGGGCCCGCCCCGAACGCAUCGGCGAGGAGACCGACCCCCGGCGUGUUAGUUACACUGUACGUCGGGAGCACCGGUGCCCUCCGCCGCGACCUUUCCACAGCGAAAAGUUGACCUCGGAUCAGGUAGGGAUACCCGCUGA
rnacentral:misc_RNA from 1 species